rnacentral:rRNA from 2 species
UACGUAGGGUGCGAGCGUUGUCCGGAUUUAUUGGGCGUAAAGAGCUUGUAGGCGGCUCGUCACGUCGGGUGUGAAAACUUGCGGCUUAACCGCAAGCCUGCACCCGAUACGGGCGGGCUAGAGUUCGGCAGGGGAGACUGGAAUUCCUGGUGUAGCGGUGGAAUGCGCAGAUAUCAGGAGGAACACCGGUGGCGAAGGCGGGUCUCUGGGCCGAUACUGACGCUGAGAAGCGAAAGCGUGGGGAGCGAACAGG